UACGGGGGGGCAAGCGUUGUUCGGAAUUACUGGGCGUAAAGGGCGCGUAGGCGGCCUUCUAAGUCAGACGUGAAAUCCCUCGGCUCAACCGAGGAACUGCGUCUGAUACUGGAAGGCUUGAAUCCGGAGAGGGAUGUGGAAUUCCAGGUGUAGCGGUGAAAGUGACGUGAGAUAUCAGGAAGAACACCCGUGGCGAAGGCGGCUCUCGUGGUACGUGACUGA
rnacentral:rRNA from 1 species